GUGCUCACUUUGGCAGCACAUGUACUAAAAUUGGAAUCAUAAAGAGAGGAUUAGCAUGGCCCCUGCAUAAGGAUGACAAACAAAUUCAUGUAGCUUUCCAUAUUUUU